AUUGAACGCUGGCGGCAGGCCUAACACAUGCAAGUCGAGCGGAUGAAGGGAGCUUGCUCCUGGAUUCAGCGGCGGACGGGUGAGUAAUGCCUAGGAAUCUGCCUUGUAGUGGGGGAUAACGUCCGGAAACGGGCGCUAAUACCGCAUACGUCCUGAGGGAGAAAGUGGGGGAUCGUCGGACCUCACGCUAUCAGAUGAGCCUAGGUCGGAUUAGCUAGUUGGUGGGGUAAAGGCCUACCAAGGCGACGAUCCGUAACUGGUCUGAGAGGAUGAUCAGUCACACUGGAACUGAGACACGGUCCAGACUCCUACGGGAGGCAGCAGUGGGGAAUAUUGGACAAUGGGCGAAAGCCUGAUCCAGCCAUGCCGCGUGUGUGAAGAAGGUCCUCGGAUUGUAAAGCACUUUAAGUUGGGAGGAAGGGCAGUAAGUUAAUACCUUGCUGUUUUGACGUUACCAACAGAAUAAGCACCGGCUAACUUCGUG
rnacentral:rRNA from 1 species